rnacentral:rRNA from 1 species
AUUGAACGCUGGCGGCAUGCCUUACACAUGCAAGUCGAACGGCAGCACGGGAGCUUGCUCCUGGUGGCGAGUGGCGAACGGGUGAGUAAUGCAUCGGAACGUGCCCUGAAGUGGGGGAUAACGUAGCGAAAGUUACGCUAAUACCGCAUAUUCUGUGAGCAGGAAAGCAGGGGAUCUUCGGACCUUGCGCUUUUGGAGCGGCCGAUGUCGGAUUAGCUAGUUGGUGGGGUAAAGGCCCACCAAGGCGACGAUCCGUAGCGGGUCUGAGAGGAUGAUCCGCCACACUGGAACUGAGACACGGUCCAGACUCCUACGGGAGGCAGCAGUGGGGAAUUUUUGGACAAUGGGCGCAAGCCUGAUCCAGCCAUGCCGCGUGAGUGAAGAAGGCCU